UACGAAGGGGGCUAGCGUUGCUCGGAAUCACUGGGCGUAAAGCGCACGUAGGCGGCUUUUUAAGUCAGGGGUGAAAUCCUGGAGCUCAACUCCAGAACUGCCUUUGAUACUGGGAAGCUUGAGUCCGGGAGAGGUGAGUGGAACUCCGAGUGUAGAGGUGAAAUUCGUAGAUAUUCGGAAGAACACCAGUGGCGAAGGCGGAUCACUGGCCCGGUACUGACGCUGAGGUGCGAAAGCGUGGGGAGCAAACAGG
rnacentral:rRNA from 1 species